rnacentral:piRNA from 1 species
UGUAAGGUUCACUUCACACUAUCCACCAAU